ACCGCGUGGGUGAAGAAGGCCUUCGGGUUGUAAAGCCCUUUUGUUGGGAAAGAAAUCCAGCCGGCUAAUACCUGGUUGGGAUGACGGUACCCAAAGAAUAAGCACCGGCUAACUUCGUGCCAGCAGCCGCGGUAAUACGAAGGGUGCAAGCGUUACUCGGAAUUACUGGGCGUAAAGCGUGCGUAGGUGGUCGUUUAAGUCCGUUGUGAAAGCCCUGGGCUCAACCUGGGAACUGCAGUGGAUACUGGGCGACUAGAGUGUGGUAGAGGGUAGCGGAAUUCCUGGUGUAGCAGUGAAAUGCGUAGAGAUCAGGAGGAACAUCCAUGGCGAAGGCAGCUACCUGGACCAACACUGACACUGAGGCACGAAAGCGUGGGGAGCAAACAGGAUUAGAUACCCUGGUAGUCCACGCCCUAAACGAUGCGAACUGGAUGUUGGGUGCAAUUUGGCACGCAGUAUCGAAGCUAACGCGUUAAGUUCGCCGCCUGGGGAGUACGGUCGCAAGACUGAAACUCAAAUGAAUUGACGG
rnacentral:rRNA from 1 species